rnacentral:rRNA from 1 species
GAUGAACGCUGACAGAAUGCUUAACACAUGCAAGUCCACUUGAACUUCGGUUUGGGUGGCGGACGGGUGAGUAACGCGUAAAGAACUUGCCUCACAGUUAGGGACAACAUUUGGAAACGAAUGCUAAUACCUGAUAUUAUGAUUUUAGGGCAUCCUAGAAUUAUGAAAGCUAUAUGCGCUGUGAGAGAGCUUUGCGUCCCAUUAGCUAGUUGGAGAGGUAACGGCUCACCAAGGCGAUGAUGGGUAGCCGGCCUGAGAGGGUGAACGGCCACAAGGGGACUGAGACACGGCCCUUACUCCUACGGGAGGCAGCAGUGGGGAAUAUUGGACAAUGGACCAAGAGUCUGAUCCAGCAAUUCUGUGUGCACGAUGAAGUUUUUCGGAAUGUAAAGUGCUUUCAGUUGGGAAGAAAAAAAUGACGAUACCAACAGAAGGAGUGACGGCUAAAUACGUG